CGAUUGUAGUCAUAUGCUUGUCUCAAAGAUUAAGCCAUGCACGUCUAAGUAUAAGCAAUUAUACAGCGAAACUGCGAAUGGCUCAUUAUAUAAGUUAUCGUUUAUUUGAUAGUACCUUACUACUUGGAUAACCGUGGUAAUUCUAGAGCUAAUACAUGCUAAAAAUCCCGACUUCGGAAGGGAUGUAUUUAUUAGAUUAAAAACCAAUGCCCUCCGGGGCUCACUGGUGAUUCAUGAUAACUCCUCGAAUCGCAUGGCCUUGCGCCGGCGAUGGUUCAUUCAAAUUUCUUCCCUAUCAACUUUCGAUGUUUGGGUAUUGGCCAAACAUGGUUGCAACGGGUAACGGAGGGUUAGGGCUCGACCCCGGAGAAGGAGCCUGAGAAACGGCUACCACAUCCAAGGAAGGCAGCAGGCGCGCAAAUUACCCAAUCCCGACACGGGGAGGUAGUGACAAUAAAUAACAAUAUAGGGCCCUUUGGGUCUUAUAAUUGGAAUGAGUACAAUUUGAAUCCCUUAACGAGGAACAAUUGGAGGGCAAGUCUGGUA
rnacentral:rRNA from 1 species